AAGGAUCUUCUUCAAAACCAAGUCAUGUUGUUUAAACUGUCGUAGCCGAACUUUUUUGUUGUAGGAUCUGGUGAUCCUUUGUUGAUAUAACUGACCAUGGAAUAUAGCCGCGGUUCGCCUUUCGUCUAUUAGAGAUAAUUGGUGAUACCUGUCUUGUACCCAUUGAUCUUCAUCCAGCUAAGCGUCUAUCAACACUCGGUGGGACUCCAUUUCAAUUUCUAUGGGGAUUACUUCUUCCAUCCCAUAGGUUAAUGCGUAGGGGGUUGCCCCAGUAGAAGUACGCAUUGAGGUUCUGUAGGCUAAUAG
rnacentral:lncRNA from 1 species